rnacentral:lncRNA from 1 species
UCUCGACUCUUCGCUUUGCCUCGGGUGGAAGAAAACGAAAAACUCUCUUAGCUCGUUGAGUCUCGAAGCGUCAGCUGACACGAGUAAUUCUAAACUUCCUUAGCGUCUAUAAUUAUUCUGUAUUUCCUGUGGAUUAUUCGUUUCGUUCGAACUCGUCACGAUUCGAUCGGGAUUUGAUUCUUUUUUUUUCUUCUUUUCAUUUCGGCAGAGAUUUUGUGCAGUUCGAAGUCAGUGAUAUUUUUAUAAUGCACGACAGCAAGUGAUGCGAUCGAUGAUAUUCGGUGACAAAACCACGAGCGACGUAUGGAAAAUUGUAACGGAUGAUAAAAAAUGAAUUGAAAAUGCAAUCUGUAUGGGAAAAAAAUAAUUGACCAUAAAAUCAUGAAAUGAAUGUGAAAAUCACUCGAUCAGUUCGAGCGCUGCUCGAUGACAUCACACACGCCAACCUAGCGGCGAACACAACCUGCUCGUUGAACUUGAUUGCUUGUUAUGAUUACGUAACGAGACGAGUUUGGAACGGUGACAGAAACGUUGAUUGCGAAACAACGAAUACUAUUUCCGAACGCGAGAGCGCUCUCACGUUACUUAAACGAAUUAAGAAAAAUUUGUAGAAUUUCGUGCUCCAACGAAGAUUAAGGUGACGAAUAUUUUUCUUCGAUUGCUCAACUGACGGGAGGAAAACUCCUCAGCUUUGCAGCAAAAUUCGUAAGUCCGUCGAGGCGAGAUAACCGAGUGUUCGGCGAUGCGCGUGCCGGUGAUACGGAAACAAAAUAUUUUAUCGCUGUAGAAUCACACGAACAACGAGCUCUGGAAGAUGAAAAAACUUUACUUUUUUCAUUAAAGAGAGAAGAAAAAAAAGCGUCAAACUUCGUGAAAUCGUACAAAAUAUUUGGUAUCGUUAAAAAAUUUCAAUUCGAUAACGGAAAAGAAUAAAUCUCACAUGUACACAGUUGGGUCAACCGAACAACGUCAGCGAAGAGCCUAAUCAGUUUUUUCCUCCGUAUGAUCGAGGCUAGAGUCGACUGUAUAGGAAGUCAUCGAUAAAGAACAUAAACAGCGGGCAAUACGUAUUUCAGUUGAAGAAGAGUGCGAGAUAACGAAAUCUAAUUUCCCAAGUUCUUUGAACCUUCGGCUCGAGCCGAUAUUCCUCAUUCAUUGUCUUUUGUUACUUUUUUCAACUCCGGGGAUAAGCUGUUCCAAUUUCCAUCAAAAGCCUCGAAUAAAUUUCCACGACACUUGGCCGAAAAACAAAAAUAACCUCGAGCCCACGUGUACUAAAAUUCGAAAUUUAUAACGAAUGAAAAACAGAAAGAACCGUUGUUCCCCUCUGCUUCCAGUGCUCAAUAAUUUGUCAUGUUAAUGAGAAUUACCUUGCGGACAAGCCUUUUCUCCACGGGCAUUUUGAUGCUCCAUUUAACGAAGAGACAUUCCGAAUGCACGUUAAAUGCACUAUUCUAUUCUCCUUUUCUUAUCCACUGCAAGGUCAUAAACACAUCACAGCAUAAAUAUCACGAAUUUCACGUCGGCUUAAAAUUUUCUGUGAUAAGAACGGCAGGCUGGAUAACAAUGACGAUAAAAAACAAAGCGUCGAUUGAUUCGCGAGGCGAUUUAAACGAUUCGUUAUAAUUGUAAUAUCGCGUCGUCAUUGAAAUAAAAUUCCACGCAAAUGCGAUUCAAGAGGAUUGAUCAAAAAAUCUCUUGGUCACAUCGAAAUGUACUGAGAUUGGGAGAAAAUCUUGAUUUGCGCCGGAACAGAGAAAUAUUCAAUGCGGCAUACAUUCUGCAUUGCGAUCCAAUUAAAAUUCACCGUCAAAAAGCCAAAUAUAAAAACUAUAUGCCAUGGGAAUAAUUUGAUUAAUAAAGUAUCGUUGAACGCUUCCACCGUUAUUUGGAUACACUUUUCGACAAAAUAAUCGACAAAACGUAAGAAAUUUUAGUGCCAGAUGGGAACAAUUUUCUAAGGCAGAUUUCGACAGCUGACAAGGCACCGAAACUCGCGAUUUUUUAAUGGGUUUAACCGGGCUCACUUCCUCCCGAUUUACCGUCAAUAUCGACUUCCUUUUAGUGCACAUAUGGAUUUAUUAUAACGUUUAAAUAACGUGGAUCGCGCAAAUAACAAAAAAAUUGGUGUCGAAAAUCGCCCGAUUCGUCCCCGACACUGUUUUAAUGAGCUAUUUUCACAAAACGAUAAAUUAGCAUCAAACGCACGUGCUACUGCAGAAAAAUCGAUACACUCGGUACCCAGUAAUCGCUGAACGUCCGCGCGGCACUGGCUCGCCGACGCGACUGAGCUCUCAACUGACCGCGCACCUCUACUAGCUCGCCCGGCUAACAUACAGCAAUAUUUCUGUUUUUCUUUCUCUCUCGACUCGUGCCGAAUUUUAUGAAUGAAAAAAACCAAAGGUCAUUUCAAUGCUGGAUGAAUGUACGAUGAAGUUUUUUUUCCAAAUUUAUCUCAAUGAUUUUUUUUAUAAAUGCAUGAAAUUUUUCACAUUUCCCGAAUUUAUCGAUAUUUCCUGUGUCUAAUUUUUCUUUUAAUUGAAGAUGAAAUAUUCCGAUUUCGGUCGAAAAGUUCACGUAUAAAAAUCAUAUUUGUCACGUAUAAAAGUAUCGAACCAAGUCUAGAAUAAAAGAGCAGGGAAUGUAAAUUCGUUCCAAUAAGCUUAGAACUGAGUUUUAUCAAUUCUGACCCUGAGGAUAAUUGUACGCUGGUUUUUGACUCCGGGGCACGUUUACUACUCGGUCGAGCUGAUAAGUACGCCGAUGGAUAAUAAGGAAUAGAGCUUCGGUCAGUGUUUUUCGGUCAUUCGAGUCGGAUGAAAGUUGCGCACAAAAAUAAAUCGGGCGUGUAAUUUUAUUCAUGAGAUUCUCAUCGUGUGCGAUUGUAUGCUCGUUUCAGAUUAUUUCGCUCUUAUAAAUAUUGAUUGGAGUUUACCAAUUCAGCUGUCAUGUAUUUUUUCUCACGUCUGCGUUCGAAGUUUUCGAAAUUCAAGGAAGCCAAAAUGCUAGAGGAACAAGCCUUGGCUCGCUGAGAACGUGACUUUUUUGGAAACGAAGGCUGUGGCAGAAAAAUAUAUUAUUGGCGCGACCUGCAAAAUAGUUUUGAAUGAAUUUUUAGUCGAAUUGUUACUUCAUCGGCAUGAAACUGGCUCAUAUCAAUAAAUGAUACGUCAAUAAA